AUACGUAGGGGGCAAGCGUUAUCCGGAUUUACUGGGUGUAAAGGGAGCGUAGACGGAAGGCCAAGUCUGAUGUGAAAGCCCGCGGCUCAACUGCGGGACUGCAUUGGAAACUGGUCAUCUGGAGUGCAGGAGGGGUAAGCGGAAUUCCUAGUGUAGCGGUGAAAUGCGUAGAUAUUAGGAGGAACACCAGUGGCGAAGGCGGAUUGCUGGACAGCAACUGACGGUGAGGCGCGAAAGUGUGGGGAGCAAACAGGAUUAGAUACCCUGGUAGUCCACACUGUAAACGAUGAAUACUAGGUGUGCGGGGACUGACCCCCUGCGUGCCGGCGUUAACACAAUAAGUAUUCCACCUGGGGAGUACGAUCGCAAGGUUGAAACUCAAAUGAAUUGACGGGG
rnacentral:rRNA from 1 species